rnacentral:rRNA from 1 species
GGGCGUUAAGUUGCAGGGUAUAGACCCGAAACCCGGUGAUCUAGCCAUGGGCAGGUUGAAGGUUGGGUAACACUAACUGGAGGACCGAACCGACUAAUGUUGAAAAAUUAGCGGAUGACCUGUGGCUGGGGGUGAAAGGCCAAUCAAACCGGGAGAUAGCUGGUUCUCCCCGAAAGCUAUUUAGGUAGCGCCUCGUGAAUUCAUCUCCGGGGGUAGAGCACUGUUUCGGCUAGGGGGCCAUCCCGGCUUACCAACCCGAUGCAAACUGCGAAUACCGGAGAAUGUUAUCACGGGAGACACACGGCGGGUGCUAACGUCCGUCGUGAAGAGGGAAACAACCCAGACCGCCAGCUAAGGUCCCAAAGUCAUGGUUAAGUGGGAAACGAUGUGGGAAGGCCCAGACAGCCAGGAUGUUGGCUUAGAAGCAGCCAUCAUUUAAAGAAAGCGUAAUAGCUCACUGGUCGAGUCGGCCUGCGCGGAAGAUGUAACGGGGCUAAACCAUGCACCGAAGCUGCGGCAGCGACGCUGAUGCGUUGUUGGGUAGGGGAGCGUUCUGUAAGCCUGCGAAGGUGACCUGUGAGGGUUGCUGGAGGUAUCAGAAGUGCG